rnacentral:rRNA from 1 species
GGAGCCGUAGCGAAAGCGAGUUUUAACUGAGCGUUCAGUUACUUGACGUAGACCCGAAACCGGGCGACCUACCCAUGAGCAGGAUGAAGCGAAAGUAAAAUUUCGUGGAGGUCCGAACCCACGAGCGUUGAAAAGCUCGGGGAUGACUUGUGGGUAGCGGUGAAAUUCCAAUCGAGCCCGGAGAUAGCUGGUUCUCCCCGAAAUAGCUUUAGGGCUAGCCUCAAGGUGAGAGAUACGGAGGUAGAGCACUGAAUGUCCUAGGGGGUAUUGCACCUACCGAAGACUAUCAAACUCCGAAUGCCGUCAUCUUAUACUUGGGAGUCAGACUGUGGGUGAUAAGAUUCAUAGUCGAAAGGGCAACAGCCCAGAUCGUCAGCUAAGGUCCCUAAAUGUAAGUUAAGUGGUAAAGGAUGUGGGAUUGCACAGACAACCAGGAUGUUGGCUUAGAAGCAGCCACUCAUUCAAAGAGUGCGUAAUAGCUCACUGGUCGAGUGAUCCUGCGCCGAAGAUUUCCGGGGCUAAAACUUACUACCGAAGCUACGGCAUCAGUAAUGAUGGGUAGGGGAGCUUCCCAUACGGGUUGAAGCAUGACCGUAAGGACAUGUGGACAGUAUGGGAGUGAGAAUGUUGGCAUGAGUAGCGAGAUGUGGGGGAGAAUCCCACAGGCCGUAAACCCAAGGUUUCCAGGGGAAGGUUCGUCCGCCCUGGGUUAGUCGGGACCUAAGCUGAGGCCGAAAGGCGUAGGUGAUGGACAACAGGUUGAUAUUCCUGUACUACCGAUAACCGUUUGAGAGAAGGGAUGACACAGUAGGAUAAGCUAAGCACACUGUUGGUUAUGUGUGCCCAAGCAUUGAGGCAGUCAAAGUAGGCAAAUCCGCUUUGAUAAUGCUGGGAUGUGAUGGGGAGCGAAAUUUAGUAGCGAAGUAGCUGAUUUCACACUGUCAAGAAAAGUCUCUAUCGAGGUUAAAGGUACCCGUACCGCAAACCGACACAGGUGGGUGAGGAGAGUAUCCUAAGGCCAGCGAGAGAACUGUUGUUAAGGAACUCGGCAAAAUGACCCCGUAACUUAGGGAUAAGGGGUGCCACCAUCAGGUGGCCGCAGAGAAUAGGCCCAAGCGACUGUUUACCAAAAACAUAGGUUUCUGCUAAGUCGCAAGACGAUGUAUAGGAGCUGACGCCUGCCCGGUGCUGGAAGGUUAAGGGGAUCUGUUAGAG